UAUUGCACAAUGGGUGAAACCCUGAUGCAGCGACGCCGCGCGGGCGAAGAAGUAUUUCGGUAUGUAAAGCCCUAUCAGCAGGGAAGAAGAAAUGACGGUACCUGAGUAAGAAGCACCGGCUAAAUACGUGCCAGUAGCCGCGGUAAUACGUAGGGGGCAAGCGUGAUCCGGAUUUACUGGGUGUAAAGGGAGCGUAGGUGGCAGGGCAAGUCAGAUGUGAAAACCCGGGGCUCAACCCCGGGAGUGCAUUUGAAACUGUCCAGCUGGAGUGCAGGAGAGGUAAGCGGAAUUCCUAGUGUAGCGGUGAAAUGCAUAGAUAUUAGGAGGAACACCAGUGGCGAAGGCGGCUUACUGGACUGUAACUGACACUGAGGCUCGAAAGCGUGGGGAGCAAACAGG
rnacentral:rRNA from 1 species